AGUGAACGCUGGCGGUAGGCCUAACACAUGCAAGUCGAACGGCAGCACAGUAAGAGCUUGCUCUUACGGGUGGCGAGUGGCGGACGGGUGAGGAAUACAUCGGAAUCUACUUUUUCGUGGGGGAUAACGUAGGGAAACUUACGCUAAUACCGCAUACGACCUACGGGUGAAAGCAGGGGAUCUUCGGACCUUGCGCGAUUGAAUGAGCCGAUGUCGGAUUAGCUAGUUGGCGGGGUAAAGGCCCACCAAGGCGACGAUCCGUAGCUGGUCUGAGAGGAUGGUCCGACACACUGGAACUGAGACACGGUACAGACUCCUACGGGAGGAAGCAGUGGGGAAUAUUGGACAAUGGGCGCAAGCCUGAUCCAGCCAUACCGCGUGGGUGAAGAAGGACUUCGGGUUGUAAAGCCCUUUUGUUGGGAAAGAAAAGCAGCAGGUUAAUACCCCGCUGUUCUGACGGUACCCAAAGAAUAAGCACCGGCUAACUUCGUG
rnacentral:rRNA from 1 species